UUCUAUUUGAAAUCCAAAUUUUAUUUGUAUAGCACCAUUUUCAAACCCAAGGUCAUUUAAAACAACAUAAAUGCAUACGCCACAUUGUAUAAACAAAUAAAAGGAAGGAAAUAUUUUGUAAGCAGUACAGCAAAUCUGGUUGGUGGGGAGAGGGUGAACUGUGAGGGAAGCAGUGUUGCAUGGAACAGUUGGGUAGCGUUGCAUCCAAAGUUUGGGGGUCAUGACGCUGAAAGAUCUGCCACCUAUAGCGGAUAGUCUGGUCUCAGGGACCAGAAGCAGACCAGUGUCGGGGGACUCAAGGGCACAAGUGGGAGUGUAGGAAGAGAACCAUUCAGAGAGGUGGGAGGGGGCAAGACUGUGAAGACCGUUACAUAUGAAUGAGAGGAUGAGAACAAAGACCUUGGGUUGGAUGGGCGACAUAAUUAGUUUGAGAUCAAAGUGAACGUGUUUCCUUUGAGUGUGAUAAAAACAUUAAAUAUCAAGGGUGAAUAUACUGAAGGAGAUGUAUCGGAUAUUUGUGUCUUUUAUUUUUGAGGCUGGAUCAUGGCCCUCUCUAUUUCGGUGGCAGUCUUCGCUAGAAGUGUGCAACUCAAACUGCUGCUUUUCUGGUAAAACUUCACUUGUGGACACAGCUGAACAAGUUCCACGUUCAGCUCUCGUUCUUGCGGCUUACUUAAGUCUCCUCCUGGCAGAAACAGAGAAUGGUGUUAUGUAAAGCGAUUCAUCGAAAAUCAACUAGAUGACAGGAGAAGAACCUGAGGAGGCACCCAAUGAAAGAAGCCAUAUUUCAAGGAAGCUUCCUACAAAAAGAGAUUUCCAGAAGAAGAGGUUGCCUGGAAAACAUUUUCCCCCAAAAGACAAUUUCUACUGGAGGAUUCUAUUGGACAAGAAAUUUUGCAGGAAGAGAACUGCCAGUAUAUGAUCUGAACAAUAUUUUCCCCCUAUUAUUAUUAUUAUUAUUAUUGUUAUUUCAUGUGAAGCAUUUUGAUGGGAGAGUGUUGAUGUGGAGUUUCAUAAGAAAUAAAUGUGGGUCCCAUUUACUUUGAGGCCAGCGAAGUCCAAAACUCCUGAGGUGUGUGAGGUGAUGCUGAAUUUACAUUUGACCUCCACCUAAUGCUGCCAUGUCUAGUGGAACAUUUUUAUAAUGGAGCUCUGUGCAUUACAUGUCAUGUUCUGUUAAAUGUAUGAAGCAUGUGCACCACAGUGAGAAGAUUUGAAACUGCAGUGUGGCUGUGUACGGCAGUGUAAGGGUUAAAGCAGCACUGUUAACCAGUGGGGGUUUCCAGACUUACUCUGACUGAGUGACAGUGUGCUUUUAAAAUAGGGGUCAUGUUCCUUAGAGUCAGUAACACAAACUGCCCAUAUAUACAUACAAAUCGUAGUUGCCAAGUAACAUCCAAAACAGUUUGCAUACUGUGUACUGUUAAGAUUCCUGAAGAAGAAGAAUUUAAGCAUUCUGUUAAAUAUAAUUAAAAAAAUAAAAAUAAAUCCUUCCUAGUUUUGAUGUGGCUGCUGUCUAAUACUGCAUGGAGUUGUUGAAGGACAGACACCCGCUCAGUGACAGUUACACAAAGCUUAGACUUAUUCUAAGAUUGCGAUGACUCGUUCUGCACUAUUCACUGCCUGAACCUGUAUGCACGCACUUAUGUAAGUCACUUUGGAUUACAACAUCUGCUACAUGCCUCAGUGUGAAUGUGAAUGCAAACGUUGGUUGUCACUGUGAGCUGUAUGACCAGGAACAUUUGAGGUU